CGGCAAAUGAGCGCAGAGCCAGAGGCAGAGUGGAGCUGAGCUCUGAGCAGGAGCGAUCCGCCUCUCUCCUCCCGCCCCCUCCCCGCGGCUGUCACUGCCGCCUCCCCUCUUUGGCGCUGCUGGGAUUGGCUCCCCCUACCUCCGCCCCCCACCCUCUACAGCUCGGGGGAGGCUCCGGUGAAAGGGUGAACUGCAAAGUGCAGGGAGGGAGACCAUCUCCCAGCAACACCACCUCUAAACCUCAAGCCACCGAUGUUGGGGUGCAAGAGAGAGCGGGGCCAGAGACCCCACUGUGAGGAAACCUCGCCCACAAUUUUCAGACACCCUCUUCCCCUACCAUCAGCACUGUCUGGUGGAGUCAGAGCCUGGGUUAUGCCUCUGGGUUCCCUGUUCGUUUCUCCAUGUCAGCCCCUAUUUUGUUUGUUCCUCCUGCCAGUUCCAGCCAGUCCCCCGUCUCCACCCUGCUUCUCUCAGCUUCAAGUGGGAAGAGUAUGCAGAGAAAAGUCCACCCGUUCUCUGAUACAGGCGCUGUAGACAAUUUUUUGUUGCCUCAAGUUCCAGCAGGAUGUCACUCUCACUUAGGGCCCCCUGUCUGGAUAUCAUCCAUUCCCAGGGGGCCUUCUUCCCUGAUCUAAUAAUGACCCUCUUGGCCAUCCAUGAAGAUAAGAAAAACAGUGAACCAGGAUUUAAUUUCCAACCACUUGUUUCAAUCAACCCAGCAGGAAUUGUCUUUUGGGAGCAAUACCCUGCUUCUGGCUCUCCUCUGACUCUGCAGAAGCCUCCAAAUACCUGGCACAGAGGCUGGGCAUGGGCAACUCUUUUUGAGGUUGAUUUCUGGAAGAGAAUGGGAACUCCUGUUUGGAGUUCUUGGAAUAGGUGUAUGUGAAGAAAUAAGGUCAAGAGAUGGACUGUAUCAAGGGAAGGCAAGGAAGUCCUCUGCUUAGUGACCCAUGUCCUAGACCUGCCUUUCUUCACUUUAUAUGAAAUGCUGGCAGGAAUCCAGAAGGAGCCCAAAGGACUUGCUGACAUCAACACAACAAAGUGUGGAGAUAAGGGAAUUGUAUUCUGCCUUCUUCCAUCCAGAAAGCAAGGGAGGCUACAAGUGUCUGAGCUCAACUGUCCUCUACUAAUGCCAUGACACUCAGGAGGAGAGUUAAGGACAGGUAGGGGUCUCCUAGCCAGAUGGGACCAACACCUGGGAGAUUACCUUAACUCUGUCUCUGAGAAUUGAGUCUGGGCCACAUAGAUUAAGGGGGUGGGGGACACUAAGAAGAUUGUCCCACACAGAUCAAUUUUUAAUAACUUCAAUUUGCCACCAGCUCCAGAUCCAGCUGUUCUGGGGUUUAUCACCUUGGAAAAAACUAAUGUCACAGGCUGAGCUAUCCAUACAGUGAUUAGUGAUCAGAGAAGACCCAGUCCAUGAUCUCUUCAGAUCAUACAUCUAGGCAUGGGAGUCUGUUGGUGGAUUCUCUGAAACUAAUGCUUAUCUGCUCAAAGUUGGAGCCACAACUAUGGUUCCCAGGGAGGGCAAGUAUACCAAAGAGAUACAGGGCUAACUGGAUAACAGCUAGGGAGGUCUCACACCUGUUCUCACAGCUGGAUUUCUGCACUUUAUCCAAUUAUUUCUGCGCCUGCUUGCUCCUUGCCAUCCUAAGGGCUUUAGAAAGGGAGAGUCUUAUAGCAGCAGCUAUUUUGGAGGUAGCUGUGGAGUUUAAAAAAAAAAACAAAACCUACAAUGGUCCUGUGGAGGCUAUACAAAGGAGGAACCACAGACUGACUUCCCGAAGAUCAGGAGAUUUGCCCAUGGUCCCACCCAGAAUAUGGGUAGAUAGGGUGAAGGCCCUAUACAUAAUGCUCACCUGGCCUUUUUCAGAUGGAGGGCACCCUGCUCCCAGCAGGUUCUCUCCCUCUCAGGGGCACCAGACCAUAGCAGGAACAGAUUCCUCCCCAGAGGAAAUUCUUAAGCAGGCUGGAUGUAAACAACAGCAGGGUGAGGGGGUGGAACAUGUGGAGGGGAGCUCAGCAGAGGCAGGAGAGGCCCCCAGUGGGAGGGGGUGGCUGAGAAGAUGGGAAAACUGCUGGAAAGGGAACCAGCAAAGUAGGCACUUUAAGGGCUCCAGAAAACCUGUCAAUGUUUAUUUUGUGCACACCCUAAAGACAGUUUAAACCAAACUAAAAAUGCAAAGCUAAGGUUGUAAGCCUUUUAUGCUGAUGAGUCAAUGGGCUGGAAGGCAAGGGAAAGCUAACAGGUAUUUCUGGUGCCAAAACUAAAAUUCAGAAAGUGGUGGCCAGACAGUGAGCACUGCGUAGAUUCCAGCCUCCAGUUUCUUACAGGAAUCGACUUUGAAUUGGGGGGGGGGGGGAAGUGCCCUACUCCUAUCCUAUCCUAUCCUAAGCCUGACCUGAGGGUCCUAAUGACUGGACAGAGUCCUAGCAGGGUAAGGACACAGAUGUCAAACCCAGCUCAGCUCCAAGCUUAAAGGGAACAGGAUAUGGCUCCUGGUAUGUCUGAAAGUUGAUCUAUUUUCAGAAGCCAAGGAAAGCCAUUAGCCUUCAGGGUCCUGGCCUCUCCUGAGGCUUGCCCCAUCAGCUUCUGAAAAUCAGCCAGAAGUCACAACUUGUAAAGUUAAUUGGAAAUGUGAGGGGGUGUCCAGGGGACCCAUCUAGAAGUCCCCAUGUUCUUGGAUGUCUCUCCUUUUGCCCACCCAUUCCUCCCCAAAUAAGAUCAUCCCUGGCUUGCCCCUGCUGUCCAAGCUUCACUGAAGUGUGGCCUUCACCAGGAGAACUCAGUAUCUGUUUCUCUCCAAUCUUGGAGGCAGCCCCCUCUCCCCUUGCACCCAUCCAGCUCAGGAGCCUCAUGAGUAAGGGCAGUCAGUGGCUGUCAGGUGGGCAUGGCCUCAGGAGAUAGUGGAGAACUCCUUUAGCAGGACCUCCUGGCUGAGUGUGUGGAAGGCCAGGUUCCUCCGGACAUUGGUGCUAAUGGAUCGAACCUGGGAAAGGGUAGGGGUAAGGUGGGAAGGCACAGAAAGAGAGAAAACAGGACAUAGUCAGUUACAAACAGCAGACGGCAGUGCCUGUGGCACAGGGCUAAGGAAGUAUCCACCAUGCUAGCAGGGGAAAGACCUAUGGAGAACUGCUGAGAGGGCCAAACUCUCUAUUAUGAGAGGGUUCCACAAGGAAUCUAGCAGACUCUGCAAGGAGGUUCAUCCAUGUAUAUGUUUAUGAGAAACAAAAGGGUGGGGGGAGGAGAUAGUGUGUGUCCUGAGCCCUAAAAUCUGCUUUGCUGUAGAAAAGUUAAUAAAGUUGUUAGGUAGGAAACAGGAAAGAACAGCGUGGCAAACUGCAAGCAACUCAAGUUCAUUAACUCCCAACUGGACCAGACUCACUUUGCAUCCCUGUGCCAGAAGUGCAGACAGGAGAGCUGAGUAAGGCAGAGGCUACCACCAAAGAGCCUAAAGACAGAGCUCCUCUAAUUCUCCUUCACAAUCUUUUUCAUCUCCCAAUAGUUAAUUGCUGGUCCCCAGUAAUUCCCCAACAUGGACAUAAAGACUCAUCAACUACCCCAUAAAAAUACUCUUACUUGCUAUAUCCUUACACUAAUGGCUUCCCUGUUCCCAACUAACUCACACCAGAGAAAUCCUGAGGAGGUCAUGUCAGGGUCAGAUUUGGGCUGUGUUUAGCACAAGACAUGAUCUAAAAUCUAGCACCUUCACUGUGGAUGGAUGUGGUGUGGGGAAGUAAAAGCUGGGCCACUGGAAGUUAUACUCCAGCAGAGGGAAGUCUAAAGACAUGGGAAGUAGGUACAGAGGCCUCAGUGUCCUGGUCUUAGUUCCCAGCCAGAAAGUUUAUGUAAACCAAGCAGGUGGUGUGGUAGGACUAUAGGGAGGCUGAAUUUUUCCUGAGAGCAGCUCUGAUCACAGGGCAGAAAAGGGACAAUUAAUAGGGAGAGAUCAGUUUUGUGGAGAUGCUGACUGGGAGGUGGAGUAGGAGGCAGAGAAAAUGCUUACUGGCUCUGGGUAGCCAAGGGUGGGGACUGUAGGAAGCUGAGUGAUUGGAGAGUAGGAGUGGGUAUAGGGAGUAAAAACUAGAGAACUAUAUUAGGAGGGCACUCAGACUAGGAACCAGUUAGGAAUUUAGGAAGAAGUGAAUAAUUGAUUCUCAUUAUCCUCAUUAGUUGCUCUGAGGCCUUGAUAAAGAGCAAUGAGCCAGAACUACCACUGGGAACACACGUCAAAUCCCAGGCCCAGUUGGAGCUGUGCAAGGGCUGUCUCCAUGGCUUCAGAGGAGGUACUGCACUGGGAAUAUUUUCUUCUCUCACUGCCUCCUCCUGAACUGUUUUGGUAGAGAAGUUUUAUAUUGGAUCCCAGCAGACCCUUCUAGUCUUAGCCUGUGGCAAACUGCAGCUGUUCCCUAAAUGUCCACCUACAAACAGAACCUAGUAGCUGGGAAUGGGCCCCCAAGAAACAUAGGCAGAGCCAGGGGCAGAGUACUCACCAGCUCUUUGAAGAAGGCAGCUUCCUUAUGCUGCUCUGAGUAGCGCUCAUACUGGUCCAGGCCAUCCUGCAGCUUCAGUGUGAGUGUGUCAUAGUUGGCUCGUACUACCUCUAGCACCUGAGGGAGGUAAAGAGCAGAGCAUGGACCAUGUAAAUCAUGGGCCUUAGCCCCACAUUGCUACCUUAUUGGGUUGGAUUCAGUCUAGGGUGAUACCUCCAAAAGACCCUGGCUCACUACUUAUCAUCCAGAAAAAAGCCAGGCCACAGGGAACAUUACUUCCUAAUCUCUUCUAUUCCCCUCCUUUCCUUACCAACCUAGCCUGGCCACCAAGGAUGUUUACUCUGGGUAUGAUAAAAGAACAUGAGAAGAAGUAACAGAACUGUGAAUGCCUGAGGUCACUCAUAUUCCUGAUACUAUAAUUUUGCUGUCAUCCUCAUCCUGAAGCUUUCUCUGGCCAGAUUGUCAGUGUCAGACUUUGCCAGUGUCUUCUUGCUUCUCCUUUUCUUGGAACUACAUUUCUUCAGUCCUGGAAUAUUCCUUAGCACCAAAUGCCACUUGUUUUUAAUCUCUUGAUGCCAACUCAGCCUUCCUACCCAUUGUGUGGAUGAAACUUUUGGACAUCCAAGCCUUUGGGUAUAGGGCAUACUUUCAAGACUGAGCUAUAGUUUUUUUUUUUUUUUUAAGAGAGAUUUUUAAUAUUUAUUUUUUAGUUCUCGGCGGCGGACACAACAUCUUUGUUGGUAUGCGGUGCUGAGGGUCGAACCCAGGCCGCAUGCAUGCCAGGCGAGCGCGCUACCGCUUGAGCCACAUCCCCAGCCCUAUAGUUUUUGUUUUGAUGAGAGAUCUCUCUCUUCAACAGAAAGACAUUGUUGAAUGUCAGGGGGAGGAUUCAGACUUCGGCUGACUCUGGGAACCUUGGGUACCACUGGUUAAGAAGGAAAGGACUACUAUAGCUAGGCCUGAUGUGACUUCAACUUAUAAGACCAUCAAAUAAAGGCAAGGUCUGGCAGGGGAGAGGCACUACAUCAAGUAGGCAGAAGUGAGUUGAGCAGAAAAGAAUUACCAGGAGAGGGAAUGACUAUUCACUUUGGUAGUUUAAGGGCACUUAUCUGACCUGUAGGAAAGCCUAUGACAUCAUGGAGAACUCCCUGCUCAGGAGGGAGCUUGAGGAGAAGAAAUGAGUGAUGAGGGACUGUUAGCUCUGCAGGGUGGUAGAGAAUAAGCCAGAGUCAGGGUAGGUCAGAGGGAUUGAGAAUAGAUUCCAAAGGAGUACAAAGGUAUCUCUGGACUGUUCCUUUACCAUUCUAAAUUUGUGUUUGGUCUGACUUUACUUGGUAACAAACACUUCUGUCUGCCAAGAAUUCCUGAGGAAAGAGAUGAGCUAGAGAGCACUGGUAAAACUUGUGUCCCUAAGGCAGAGUUCUCUGAGUUUCAGUUCAGAAGGAAGGGAUAGCUAGGGCACAGCUCUGGCCCAGUUUUCUUCCUUCCAGACAUUCUCAGCUCCAUAAAAUAAUUUUGUUGGCUCUUUCCCACAGACCCUAAGACAAGCUGGUUCCUUUGCUUCUAAUUCCAAUUGUCAGCUCUGUAGGUAGGUAGACCACAGCCCAGCAAGAGCAGUCACAAAAUAAUCCAGUCUUAUCAAGAACAUGGGCUAUAUACUUGAGCCAGAGUCUUGGCUCAGAAGUGAAUGGCUCAAACCCACACUCAAACCCACAAAAAGGCAAAAUUUUCUCCAAGAUGGAAACAUCCCCAAGGAACCAAGCAAAAUAAAGUAAUACAUGUUUUCCUAAGUCCUGAAAUAUGGGCAGCCUCAGCAAUGCCUAUGACCCAGCAACCUGGGCUUGGCUUUCCUUAAAAAGGUGUCAGGUACUAAAAGACAAAAACCACGUCAAAGCCAAUUUCUGAGAAAAAGGUGCAGUAUGUUAAGAGAUGUCUCUACCUUCUAACUAUGCCCCAAGAGUCUAAGGCCUCCAAGACUCCCUUGAUCACCUAGACAUUCUCCUCUUGCCAGGGAAGAAUGGAAUGUCUAAGGUCUUACUUAACAGGGAAUUUUCCUUUCUCAGUAAGGCGGGCUUUUCAAAGUAUAGCCUAGUACAGUUUGUUACAGGAAGUUCAAAGCAGAAAAGGCUCCUGAGCUACUAGCUCCUUAGAAGGAAACCAGAAGCCUGGCUGGAUUAUUACGCAGUGCAUGAUUACGGCUCCACUCUUAUCUGGAUAUUGCCCAGUGCUGCCUCCUCCUUCCCUGGUCUUUCUUUCUCUUUUACCUAGCAAAAAGUUGUCCAUCAGCUCAUCUAGACUCUACCGUCUCCUGCCCUCAUCACCUCUCAAUUACUUGCAAGAGAACACACUCUAAGCUCAGGUCUGGGCCUCAACUCAUUCAGCAUUUCAGAGCACUUGCCAAGUCUGGGAUUUUGCUUUCUGGAGUAAAAGACUUUAGGAACAUGUGCCAUUUGAGCUUCAACACUGGCUUGGGGUGUGGCAAGAGUAAUUUCUCAGAUUGUGUUUAAAGGCCUUAGGCUUUAUUGGGCCCGGUGGUGCAUUCCUGUAAUUCUAGCAACUUGGAAGGCUGAGGGCCUAAGCAACUUAGCCAGACCCUGUCUGAAAAAUAAAAAAAUAAAAAGGGUAGGGGCAGUAGCUCAGUGGUAAAGCACUCCUGGGUUCAAUCACUAGGGGGAAAAAGAAAAAGACCUUAGACUUUACCCUAAUUUACAGCCUUGGGAUCUGGCUUCCUGGUAACUCCAAUUGCCCCUAUCAGGUUAAGAUCCCUUCCCAAUUCAUCAGGUAACAGUCUAGUCCCCAAGCACAUACAAACCCUCUUUCAUCAGUUGUUGGGCUUGUGGGAUUCCUAGAACUAGGCCCACUACCUUAGCUCAAAUAGCUUCAAAGUCAGAAAUCACCUACAAGACAUAAUCUUUAAGGAACCCUUACACUACUUAUGACCCUUAGUAGACAGGAACUUGGGUCCUGGUAAGAGCCUGAUAGAAAAAUAACUUACUUGAGCCAAGAAUGGUAGCACAUGCCUGUAAUUUUAGCAAUUUGGGAGGCUGAGGCAGAAGGAUCAAGGCCAGCCUUAGCAAUUUAGUGAGACCCUGUCUCAAAAUUUAAAAAAAGGACUGGGGAUGUGGUUCAGUAGUGAAGCAUCUCUGGGUUCUAUCUCCAGGACCAAGAAAAGAGAGAAGAAAGAGAAAGUAAGGAAACAAACUGAAUUGGAGUUCCACUCUAUGUGUAUAUGUGCUACUGGGGGUUGAAUCCAGGGCCUUGUACAUGCUCGGCAAGCACUUAUUAACCAGCUCAAUUGAAAUUGCCCAUUGUGGUGGCACACUCCUGUAAUGCCGGCUACUCUGAAGGCUGAAGCAGGUGGAUUGCAAGUUUGAGGCCAGCCGGGACAAUUUAGACUCACUUCAUCUCUGGCUCAUGGACUCUUUUUGAGAGGCACUUUCAUCACUUCAUUUAACUUUGAAAGAAGUUGGAGGAGGGUGAGGACAUGUGCUUGCUAAUCAUCCUUUUCCAGAUUGUCUCAUGCACCAGAAUGAGCUUUUAUUAUUGGUCUGUGGCUGCUUCUGCUGGAGAAAGAUUUCAGCCUGACCUUCCCAAGCUGCUAGGGAUGAAUGCUGCACGUGGCUGACAGUGAAAAUGUGUCUUCCUAUUUUUUAAAAAAGCUUUUAGGCUAACCAGAGCUCACUGAUGUAGGAAAGUCAUCCCUUUUCUCAGUGUUCAGAAUUCAAGGUGUUGCAUUCUUCUGCAUAAAAAUGACAUAGAAACUGACACAAAUGGGUCCAAGAGAAAAAGAUAGCAGCAUCAGGAAGCACCUCACAGAGAGCUCAGCAUCAAAGAAUAGGACUCCGGACUGCUCUAAGGCAGAAAGGAAAAAAUAAAAAAUAAAAGCCAUUUAUAACAGAGUUUUAAAUGUGAGGAUGGAUUCGCACAGCUGGCCUCACAAAAGAGAACAAAUAUGUCAAAGGGAACAACUGACAGACUAAUAGAGUCCUAUCCAUCUGGCUGAGGAAAGAAGCACUGGGGAAUACUGAGAAGCCUGUCUGUUAGGAAAAAGCUUGCCUCGUGCUUCAUUGGGUGAACUGAAUAGCUUUUAGGAACACUGAACACAUGGUCAUACCAUAGCUGCUGGCUGGUCCUGUCAGGAAGAAGCUCAGAAAAGGGGUACAAUGAUGCAUUGGCAAGCAAGGGAGAAAGGAGCAUAUGUGGUCUUCUUAUUGGCUUGGAAUCCAUACCCUGGCCCCUCCAACUUGGGAGGAGGAUGAGAAGAAAGGAAGGGGAAUCAUGUGAAGAAGAUAUCUUCUUUUCUGCUUUUAAAAAUGGACUCAAGUGUCUCAGAAUGAAACAUCAGGUUCAACCCUAUGCCAUGCUAAUGCCCCAUCUGUACUUUUAUAUAAUGUAGAGCUAAGUGCAGGCACUUUGGGAGAAGGGGAAAUCAGGCCAGAUUCAAGCAAAGCAAAACACAAGCUCUCUGCAUUUCCAUCUCAGUCCAUACCAUAAAAAAGCCUGCUCAGAAAAUAAUUGCUCAAGGCAAAGGGAACUCAAUUACUAAGGAAAAUCUGUCCCAAAAAGGGCUCAUGUUUUAACGAGCCAAAAAGCUUCAAAUUAAGCUGAACUAAGGGUUUUUCUAAUUGGCAGUUUUAUACAUUUCUAAGAUCUCGUUUCUUACUUUCAAAAAUCAAAAAUGACUCUAAGAUUUUAAAAAGUAAUGAUUUAUCACCCACUCUAAAACAAUAAUUCACCAAAUUUUCAACUAUAUUUCUCCUAUGUAAUUAAACAAACCAUGCAGAUGGCACAAAUGCAGAAGAUAUUACUUGCUAUUUUAAGUACUAUCAAGCAAUCCUGUACUAAUUCGUCUCAAAUGGCCUGGCUCUUGCCAUUCCCGUUCAGUCACAGAAUCACCUGCCACCAGAGAGAAGGCAACUGAUUGAUCCUAGCCACCAACUAGGUCACUCUGAGAAGAGUAAUGGCUUACCUGCUCCUCUGACAGUUGGGAUAUGUGAUUCACAGCAGCAUAGGACUCAAUUUUGGGGUUAAAGUGGUUGAUGAUGGCUCUGAAACAAAGAAUUAAAAUUAAUAUAGUACCAGAUGGGAGAAGAGGAUAAACUGGUUAAAAACAAGGAUUGAGUACCCUCUGGCUUAGAGUGCUAGAUCAUGGGAGUGAUUGUCAGAAGGUAAUUGUCUUCUUACUAAUCAUGAGAUUACAAAUGGAAGUGAAUUAACAACUCUGAAUAGGAAGAGUUUAAUAAUUUAUUAGAGGACAGAAUCAAGCAUCUCCACUAUGCAAAUGAAGCAGAAAAAUCCACAACCAAACAAGCUAAACAAAGAAAAACCAUGUGAGUCCUUCAGAUAAGAAACAGGACCAAGGGUGCUGGCUGCCAGAGGGCCCUAUGUUUCAAUCAAAAAGGGAAGUUGUGAGGGGAGUGAAAGAAGGGGUGGGGCAGUGGGGAUGGGAAGGACAGUGGAAUGAGACAAUACAUUAUUACCCUAUAUACAUGUAUGAUUACACUACUGGAGUGAUCUGCACCAUGUACAGCCAGAGGAAUGAGAAGUAUGCUCCAUUUGUGUACAAUAUGUCAAAAUGCAUUCUACUGUAAAAUAAAUACAUAAUAAACCUUUUCUCUUUACAA